rnacentral:tRNA from 1 species
GAGCCAUUCGCUCCGUUGGUAGAGCAUCUGACUUUUAAUCAGAGGGUCGAAGGUGCGAGUCCUUCAUGGCUCAUCA